rnacentral:rRNA from 1 species
UACGUAGGGUGCCAGCGUUGUCCGGAAUUAUUGGGCGUAAAGAGCUCGUCGGGGGUUUGUCGCGUCUGCUGUGAAAACUCGGGGCUUAACCCCGGGCCUGCAGUGGGUACGGGCAGACUAGAGGGCGGUAGGGGAGACUGGAAUUCCUGGUGUAGCGGUGAAAUGCGCAGAUAUCAGGAGGAACACCGGUGGCGAAGGCGGGUCUCUGGGCCGUAACUGACGCUGAGGAGCGAAAGCGUGGGGAGCGAACAGG